rnacentral:hammerhead_ribozyme from 1 species
AUCCGGCUGACGAGUCCCAAAUAGGACGGAACGCGCGUCAAACAAGAU